rnacentral:rRNA from 1 species
GAGGAAUUUUCCGCAAUGGGCGCAAGCCUGACGGAGCAAUGCCGCGUGUGUGAAGAAGGUCUUCGGAUUGUAAAGCACUUUCGACGGGGACGAUGAUGACGGUACCCGUAGAAGAAGCCCCGGCUAACUUCGUGCCAGCAGCCGCGGUAAUACGAAGGGGGCUAGCGUUGCUCGGAAUGACUGGGCGUAAAGGGCGCGUAGGCGGCUUGUACAGUCAGAUGUGAAAUUCCCGGGCUUAACCUGGGGGCUGCAUUUGAUACGUGCGGGCUGGAGUGUGAAAGAGGGUCGUGGAAUUCCCAGUGUAGAGGUGAAAUUCGUAGAUAUUGGGAAGAACACCGGUGGCGAAGGCGGCGACCUGGUUCAUUACUGACGCUGAGGCGCGAAAGCGUGGGGAGCAAAC